UACCCAGUGGCUGAGAAAAGUAUAGGUCUUUUAAACCUACCAUGGUAAUCUUAUUACUCUGGGUUA
rnacentral:tRNA from 1 species